UUUAGAAGAAUAAUCAGAAGUAUCGUACACGAUGCCAAGUCUGGGGUCUUAAUUUAUGAGGAAAAAAUCAGAUAUUUGUGGAAACUAUUCGUUUUUAAUUGGGAUAAAUGAAGUCUACCAAGAAAUUCAGGUCAGGUCAGUUUUGUUGCCAAAUGAGUCAUAAAAAAUGUCUUAGUAUCCAGAGCUUUUUAAAGUUUAAAAUUGCACCCCGUUGAUUCGCAAUAAUAACAGAGCUAAUGGAGUUCUUGAGGAGAGCAUCCUCUUCAAAGCCAAGGGAGAAAAGAACCUCAAGAAAGAGAAACACCAGGGCUGGAGAGAUGGCUCAGUGGUUAAGAGCACUGUCUGCUCUUCCAGAGGUCCUGAGUUCGAUUCCCAGCAACCACAUGGUGGCUCACUAAAAAAUGAUACAUUGUACUGGAACUCAAUCUGUAGGUGGAAGCGUGGAUGGCAAUCAUUGCACACAAAUAAAGAGCAGGCUGGAAAGCCUUUAGCAGGUGA
rnacentral:lncRNA from 1 species